CCUACGGGUGGCAGCAGUGAGGAAUAUUGGUCAAUGGACGAGAGUCUGAACCAGCCAAGUAGCGUGAAGGAUGACUGCCCUAUGGGUUGUAAACUUCUUUUAUAUGGGAAUAAAAUGUUCCACGUGUGGGAUUUUGUAUGUCCCAUAUGAAUCCGGAUCGGCUAACUCCGUGCCAGCAGCCGCGGUAAUACGGAGGAUCCGAGCGUUAUCCGGAUUUAUUGGGUUUAAAGGGAGCGUAGGUGGAUUGUUAAGUCAGUUGUGAAAGUUUGCGGCUCAACCGUAAAAUUGCAGUUGAAACUGGCAGUCUUGAGUACAGUAGAGGUGGGCGGAAUUCGUGGUGUAGCGGUGAAAUGCUUAGAUAUUACGAAGAACUCCGAUUGCGAAGGCAGUUCACUGGACUGCAACUGACACUGAGGCUCGAAAGUGUGGGUAUCAAACAGGAUUAGAUACCCGAGUAGUC
rnacentral:rRNA from 1 species